rnacentral:rRNA from 1 species
UACGUAGGUGGCAAGCGUUAUCCGGAAUUAUUGGGCGUAAAGAGCGCGCAGGUGGUUGAUUAAGUCUGAUGUGAAAGCCCACGGCUUAACCGUGGAGGGUCAUUGGAAACUGGUCGACUUGAGUGCAGAAGAGGGAAGUGGAAUUCUAUGUGUAGCGGUGAAAUGCGUAGAGAUAUGGAGGAACACCAGUGGCGAAGGCGGCUUCCUGGUCUGUAACUGACACUGAGGCGAGAAAGCGUGGGGAGCAAACAGGAUUAGAUA